rnacentral:rRNA from 4 species
AAAACUUUCAACAAUGGAUCUCUUGGUUCCGGCAUCGAUGAAGAACGCAGCGAAAUGCGAUAACUAGUGUGAAUUGCAGAAUUCCGUGAAUCAUCGAGUCUUUGAACGCACAUUGCGCCCCCUGGUAUUCCGGGGGGCAUGCCUGUCCGAGCGUCAUU